rnacentral:snoRNA from 1 species
GCAACAUAGUUGAACAGGAUCUGUUUUAUAGGCUCGUACCAAUGUAUUCUUCAGUUCUAAGGAGACAGGAAAUCUAGUCUGGUGGAUGAACCAUGGCCAUGAGACCAGAGUAUGAUGAAUAGCCUCCAUGCCCUUCCGGGUCAUGGUGCCAUAGAUGAUCGUUCUCAGCCUGGUUGUCAUCAACAAAAA